GGGUGGUAAUGCCGGAUGCUCCAUCACACCGCAUGGUGUGUUGGGAAAGCCUUUGCGGCAUGGGAUGGGGUCGCGUCCUAUCAGCUUGAUGGCGGGGUAACGGCCCACCAUGGCUUCGACGGGUAGCCGGCCUGAGAGGGCGACCGGCCACAUUGGGACUGAGAUACGGCCCAGACUCCUACGGGAGGCAGCAGUGGGGAAUAUUGCACAAUGGGCGCAAGCCUGAUGCAGCGACGCCGCGUGAGGGAUGGAGGCCUUCGGGUUGUAAACCUCUUUUAUCAGGGAGCAAGGCUUCGGUUGAGUGUACCUGUUGAAUAAGCACCGGCUAACUACGUGCCAGCAGCCGCGGUAAUACGUAGGGUGCAAGCGUUAUCCGGAAUUAUUGGGCGUAAAGGGCUCGUAGGCGGUUCGUCGCGUCCGGUGUGAAAGUCCAUCGCUUAACGGUGGAUCCGCGCCGGGUACGGGCGGGCUUGAGUGCGGUAGGGGAGACUGGAAUUCCCGGUGUAACGGUGGAAUGUGUAGAUAUCGG
rnacentral:rRNA from 1 species